AGAUGUGCGGGCGAUCUGGCUGCGACCUCUGUCACCCCACUGAUCGCCAGGGCUGAUUUGGCUGAUCCAGCUGGCUAGGCGGGCGUCCUCUUCCCCACUCCCCGCUCCAUGUGCGUCCCUCCCACAGCUGCGUGCCCAGCUGAAGAGGACAAGCUUCCCCUCUAGAGGAGGACGGGUCUCUGUCAAGGGCAUCUGAGCAGUUGCGCUCCCCUGCUAGAACCUCCAAACAAGCUCUCAAGAAGAGGCAGCUUCUUUAGGAAAUAGUACCUUCCCACUGUCUCCUUUGCUUGUCGCUAAUAAAUAAAGCUUUCCUUUGAGC
rnacentral:snRNA from 1 species